rnacentral:rRNA from 1 species
GACGAACGCUGGCGGCGUGCUUAACACAUGCAAGUCGAACGGAAAGGCCCUGCUUUUGUGGGGUGCUCGAGUGGCGAACGGGUGAGUAACACGUGAGUAACCUGCCCUUGACUUUGGGAUAACUUCAGGAAACUGGGGCUAAUACCGGAUAGGAGCUCCUGCUGCAUGGUGGGGGUUGGAAAGUUUCGGCGGUUGGGGAUGGACUCGCGGCUUAUCAGCUUGUUGGUGGGGUAGUGGCUUACCAAGGCUUUGACGGGUAGCCGGCCUGAGAGGGUGACCGGCCACAUUGGGACUGAGAUACGGCCCAGACUCCUACGGGAGGCAGCAGUGGGGAAUAUUGCACAAUGGGCGGAAGCCUGAUGCAGCAACGCCGCGUGCGGGAUGACGGCCUUCGGGUUGUAAACCGCUUGCGCCUGUGACGAAGCGUGAGUGACGGUAAUGUGUAAAGAAGCACCGGCUAACUACGUG